GACGAACCGUGCGAACGUUGUUCGGAAUCACUGGGCUUAAAGGGCGCGUAGGCGGGCUGUCAAGUCUGGGGUGAAAUGCCGCGGCUCAACCGUGGAACUGCCUUAGAUACUGACGGCCUCGAGGAAGGUAGGGGCAUGCGGAACUGUAGGUGGAGCGGUGAAAUGCGUUGAUAUCUACAGGAACUCCGGUGGCGAACGCGGCGUGCUGGACCUUUUCUGACGCUGAGGCGCGAAAGCUAGGGGAGCAAACGGG
rnacentral:rRNA from 1 species